rnacentral:rRNA from 1 species
UACGGAGGGUGCAAGCGUUAUCCGGAUUCACUGGGUUUAAAGGGUGCGUAGGUGGGCAGGUAAGUCAGUGGUGAAAUCUCCGAGCUUAACUCGGAACUGCCGUUGAUACUAUUUGUCUUGAAUAUUGUGGAGGUAAGCGGAUAUGUCGAUGUAGCGGUGAAAUGCUUAGAUAUGACAUAGAACACCAAUUGCGAAGGCAGCUUACUACACAACGAUUGACGCUGAGGCACGAAAGCGUGGGGAUCAAACAGG